GGCACUGUGGCUUAGUUAGUUAAAGUGCCUGUUUUAUAAAUAGUGGAUCCUGGGUUCAAAUCCCAGUAGUACUU
rnacentral:tRNA from 1 species